CAGCAGCCACGGGAACACGGAGGGUGCAAGCGUUAAUCGGAAUUACUGGGCGUAAAGCGCACGCAGGCGGUCUGACAAGUCAGAUGUGAAAUCCCCGGGCUUAACCUGGGAACUGCAUUUGAAACUGUCAGGCUGGAGUCUUGUAGAGGGGGGUAGAAUUCCAGGUGUAGCGGUGAAAUGCGUAGAGAUCUGGAGGAAUACCGGUGGCGAAGGCGGCCCCCUGGACAAAGACUGACGCUCAGGUGCGAAAGCGUGGGGAGCAAACAGGAUUAGAUACCCCUGUAGUCCCUGUCUCUUAUAC
rnacentral:rRNA from 1 species